AACGGCCGUACCAUGCUGAAUAUACCGGUUCUCGUUAGAUCACCGAAGUCAAGCAUCAUUGGGCGCGGUCAGUACUUGGGUGGGUGACCACCUGGGAACACUGUGUGCCGUU